CUCAAUGAAAUUCAAUAGCCGCAACAUUUGUGCUAAGGUAGCAUAAUCAUUUGUCUUUUAAUUAAAGACUAGAACGAAAGAUUUAACAUUUUUAUUUCUUUCUUAAAUAUAACUAUUUAAAUUAUUUUAAAUAUAAAAAAAUAUUUAUAUAUAAAGAAGACGAUAAGACCCUAUUGAACUUAACUAAAGUUUAACUGGGGUAGUUAAUUAAAUAUAAUUUUAAUUAUAAUUUCAUAAAUAACCUAAUAAAAUUAAAAUAUCAAGUUACCAUAGGGAUAACAGCGUAAUAAUUUUCUUAAGCUCUUAUUUAAAAAAUCAUUUGCGACCUCGAUGUUGAAUUAAUAAUCUAUUAAAUGCAAUAACUAAUAAGAAAGUC
rnacentral:rRNA from 1 species